rnacentral:misc_RNA from 1 species
GGGUUCCUUUCCUUUCAGAUUUUUCUUUCUUUUCACUCCAGAUUCAUUUUCAUGGGUAACAUUGGUAGUACCGGUUCUAAUGGCCGGAGAAGGCACGGUAGUCGCCGGAGUCAUCCAACUCCGCCACCACCAGCGCCACCCCAGCCUGAAAUUUCAAGUAAUCGCUACGUUUUCGCCGCUGCUACGCCUUAUCCAACGCAAUAUCCGAACCAUCCGAAUCAUCCGCCGCCCUACUACCAGUAUCCUGGUUACUUCCCAC